rnacentral:lncRNA from 1 species
UACAGUUAAGAGCUCAGAGACCCCGAGACAGGUGGAGAGGGAGAAAGGCAAACCAGGAGGAGGAGUUGGAGGAGAGGCCAAGGCUACCAGUGGUUUGUCUGCACCUCUCUACCCAGCAGUCUGGCCAAAGAGUAGUGAUGCCUGGAAUAUGUGGUUUUUGGACUGAAGAGCAGAGCCAUGCAGCCCCAUAACCUGGAUUCUCC